GACAGGGAAGCAUAGCUGAGCCAUGAGGUAGCGUCAACUGGGACAAGCUGAGGUCCUAUAGCCUUGGUCCCUUUAACCUCAUUCUCUCCAUCACCACAGCACUGGGAAAACACUCACAGAAGGAAGCCAGCAGGUUUUGCCAGAUGGCUGACCGCGCUGACCCCAACCAUUCCCCACCUUUAACUCUUCCUUAAGAAAACAAGGAGCGGGCCAGCCAAUCAGUUUAUGGCUUCCUCUUGUUCAGCCAUGUUCUUUGGCUGUAAACUCCGUCUUGCUUGGCCAGCAUCCUCUAUUUUGGCUGGACUGAGGGUAGAGUAUUGCUUUUAUAGGUGCCUAUAAAACAGCCGGUAGAAUUUGGAUUAUUCAUGGAGAUGGUGCAAAAAGAAAAAUUAUGGAAACAGGAAGAAGAAGAAGAAGAAGAAGAAGAAGAAGAAGAAGAAGAAGAAGAAGAAGAAGAAGAAAAUACCAAACUCUUUCCUUGACCCUACAGCUGUGGAGGUAUACAUCUUUGAGAAAAGGAGAAAAACCAAGGGGAAGGGAAAAUACACAGCAUGGACAUGAUUGAAACAUGAAGGAGUUUUUAUUUCAGUCAUUAAAAAAACAUUUUUAUUUAUUUAAUUCUCAUAAACAAAGCAGGAGUUCUUUGCAAACGUACAAUUACAAACCAGCACUCAACCUCAUCUGUAAGCUAAUAACAUUAGCUCGCACCAUGUUAUUGGAAAGCACUGUUUGUUUUUCUCCAUCUGCUCUUUUGCGGAUGGCUCAUUCAAAUGAUGAGAUGGUUACUCCCACAGUAACUUAUCCCAUAAUUACUGUACUCUUGAAGUGUGUGACCCCUGGAUCUUGUGAUAGAAGGAUAUAUGUUUCCAUGCAGAGAGAGGUGGCUUGCAAAUGGUUGCAUUAACAACCUUGGAAGGCAUUCUCAAGAACACAUUGUCCUAGUAAAGGUAAAGGUACCCCUGCCCGUACGGGCCAGUCUUGACAGACUCUAGGGUUGUGCGCUCAUCU